rnacentral:misc_RNA from 1 species
GAUGAAGAACGUAGCGAAAUGCGAAAAGUAAUGUGAAUUGCAGAAUUCAGUGAAUCAUCGAAUCUUUGAACGCACAUUGCGCCCGCUGGUAUUCCGGCGGGCAUGCCUGUUCGAGCGUCAUUUCAACCCUCAAGCCCCCGGGUUUGGUGUUGGGGAUCGGCUCUGCCCUUCUGGGCGGUGCCGCCCCCGAAAUACAUUGGCGGUCUCGCUGCAGCCUCCAUUGCGUAGUAGCUAACACCUCGCAACUGGAACGCGGCGCGGCCAUGCCGUAAAACCCCAACUUCUGAAUGUUGACCUCGGAUCAGGUAGGAAUACCCGCUGAACUUAAGCAUAUCAAUAAGCGGAGGA